GACGAACGCUGGCGGCGUGCUUAACACAUGCAAGUCGAACGGAAAGGCCCUGCUUUUGUGGGGUGCUCGAGUGGCGAACGGGUGAGUAACACGUGAGUAACCUGCCCUUGACUUUGGGAUAACUUCAGGAAACUGGGGCUAAUACCGGAUAGGAGCUCCUGCUGCAUGGUGGGGGUUGGAAAGUUUCGGCGGUUGGGGAUGGACUCGCGGCUUAUCAGCUUGUUGGUGGGGUAGUGGCUUACCAAGGCUUUGACGGGUAGCCGGCCUGAGAGGGUGACCGGCCACAUUGGGACUGAGAUACGGCCCAGACUCCUACGGGAGGCAGCAGGGGGGGAUAUUGCACAAUGGGCGGAAGCCUGAUGCAGCAACGCCGCGUGGGGGAUGAAGGCCUUCGGGUUGUAAACCGCUUUCGCCUGUGACGAAGCGUGAGUGACGGUAAUGGGUAAAGAAGCACCGGCUAACUACGUG
rnacentral:rRNA from 1 species